CCCCCAAAUUUCUGAGAGAGAAGAUGAACGCUCAGAGCAGCCAACAGCAAUCCAGCGACGGACGCCACGAUGACGAUGCUGCACUUACCGAUUUUCUAGCUUCUUUGAUGGAUUAUACACCCACUAUUCCAGAUGAACUGGUAGAGCAUUAUUUAGCGAAAAGCGGAUUCCAGUGCCCCGAUGUCCGAUUGACAAGACUGGUGGCAGUUGCUACACAGAAAUUUAUUGCUGACGUGGCAACUGAUGCUCUUCAGCAGUGUAAGGCAAGGCAGUCAGCUGUCGUCAAGGACAAAAGAGAUAAGCAGCAAAAGGAUAAGCGACUAAUAUUGACAAUGGAGGAUCUUUCCAAGGCACUGCAGGAGUAUGGUGUGAAUGUCAAACAUCAAGAUUAUUUUGCUGAUAGCCCUUCUGCUGGGUUAGAUCCCGCGGCAAGAGAUGAGUGAGUGUAGCGUGAGCUUAAUUCUGUAUGGUUCAACCAAUUCAAAAUUGCAAUGAAAAUUAGACAAACAAUUGCUUACGGAGUUCAUUAAUUUGAUGUGAUAUGCUUAUCUACAUGAAGAUGCAUUCAUGUUUAAGUUUGAGCAAAGAUUUACCUUUUGCGAAAGCAAUACUGAUUCUAACUACCGUUCAUGUAUGAUGUUGAUCCAUGUAUAUACACAGAUGAGCUGCCACUGAAUUUAUUUGUCAAGUGGAAGGUUGGUGUGCAGUACUGGAAAUGACUGAAAAGUUCAUUACAUGUUUAGUUCCAUUACUAUUGUGUACGGAAUGUAUCUUGAAACAUCAUACACUAUUCAUUUUGUUGUUGAGAAUGAAUCUUUGUUUGCCCAUGCAAUAACUGUGAUUCCUACUUUUUCUA